rnacentral:rRNA from 1 species
GACGUAGGGCGCGAGCGUUGUCCGGAAUUAUUGGGCGUAAAGAGCUCGUAGGCGGUUUGUCACGUCUGCUGUGAAAACUGGAGGCUCAACCUCCAGCCUGCAGUGGGUACGGGCAGACUAGAGUGCGGUAGGGGAGAUUGGAAUUCCUGGUGUAGCGGUGGAAUGCGCAGAUAUCACGAGGAACACCGAUGGCGAAGGCAGAUCUCUGGGCCGUAACUGACGCUGAGGAGCGAAAGCAUGGGGAGCGAACAGG